rnacentral:rRNA from 1 species
AUUGAACGCUGGCGGCAGGCCUAACACAUGCAAGUCGAACGGUAACAGGAAGAAGCUUGCUUCUUUGCUGACGAGUGGCGGACGGGUGAGUAAUGUCUGGGAAACUGCCUGAUGGAGGGGGAUAACUACUGGAAACGGUAGCUAAUACCGCAUAACGUCGCAAGACCAAAGAGGGGGACCUUCGGGCCUCUUGCCAUCGGAUGUGCCCAGAUGGGAUUAGCUAGUAGGUGGGGUAACGACUCACCUAGGCGACGAUCCCUAGCUGGUCUGAGAGGAUGACCAGCCACACUGGAACUGAGACACGGUCCAGACUCCUACGGGAGGCAGCAGUGGGGAAUAUUGCACAAUGGGCGCAAGCCUGAUGCAGCCAUGCCGCGUGUAUGAAGAAGGCCUUCGGGUUGUAAAGUACUUUCAGCGGGGAGGAAGGGAGUAAAGUUAAUACCUUUGCUCAUUGACGUUACCCGCAGAAGAAGCACCGGCUAACUCCGUG